ACUAUAUUUUGGAGUGAUGUUCUAUAUAUAAUGAUAACAACGAUAAUAUGUACUAAAUAAUAAUUACAACAAGAUUAUUUGCACAGAGUUAUUCCCGAACUUCGUAAGACGUUUCAACUUCAUUACUAUAACAAGUAAAAUAUUGCCUACCUAACUUUGAUUAAAUUCUGUGAAAACGGAUGAGAAAUGACAGCCAAUUGUUCGCUUGGAUAAUAUUAUUUUUUUUAUAUUACACGUCCUAUUAUUAUAGUUGCACCCUUAUGACGCAAUUUAUUUAUAAUGAUAAAAGUUAACAAUAACAGUAAUAAUCAUAAAAAAGUUUAAAAACUAUAGACAUUUAAUAAUAAGAAAAUUCAAUCAAUUCUGUUCGCUUUCAGUGAAAAUGUAAAGUGUAUAGUAAUUUUUUUAUGUUUUUUUUUUUUUUUUAAAGUGAUCUUUUAAAUUCAAUAGUUUAAAUAUUUACGUACCGAUUCGGCAGAAACUUUACACAUUUGUGUACACUGUAACGAAAUUGCAAUUUCAAUGUACAGCGCAAAUAAAAGGAGCUGAUAUCGGAUUAUUAACUCUCGCACAUUUUUGAAGUAUCUAAUCUGUAUAUAAAAACAAAAUGUAUAGUAUGAACCUACAUAGUAUAUGGAUAAAAAGCAUACUAUAAAUGUAUAUACAUAACGCAGAUAUCUUUAUGCAAAUGUGUAAAAUACUUCUGUUGGGCGGUGUUUGUUUUUCGUGCUCCCCGGGGGUCCUUUGCGGAUGUCAUCAUUUCAAUGCUUUUUUAUUUUUUUUAGUUUUCACGCUCGGUAGCGACAGAUAGUGCACAAAGUAAGCGUUCAACUAAGUCACACACACUUAAUUCACUUAUUUGCCGUGUACAGUCAACAUAAAAAUAAAAUUACUCGAAAUUCUCUGCGUAGGUACCUACAAAUGCACACAGCAGACAGCCUCGACAGGUCACAUCCCAUUCCUUUAUACGUGCUUAUUAUUAUUAUUAUUUUACCUCUAAACUUGAAAUUUUACAUAACUGAAUGGAGUAUAUAGUUUAAUUAACUUUUUUUUUCUUUUUUUACAAUUAAUUUUUUCUUAACUUCUUUAUAACUACAGCGCCAGACAAUAGAAAUAUACCUAUCAUGUUGAUCAUACCGUGCGCGGUUUCCUUUGUGCUGUCGUCACGCCUAUUAUCACGAGAUCGGCAAGAACAGCACCCGUUAUUUUAUUCAGGUUUUGUUUAAAUAAUAUACAAUAUUAUGUGUACCUAUAACUUAUUGUUUAUAUAACCUGUUGCGGCCGUCUGACAACCCCGUCCAUGGGCAGGCUGCACAUGUGGGUUUGUUGCGGCGUUCAAAUGAGAAUUAUUUGCCAGACAACCGGUGCAUGUUCGUUAAGGACGAUAUACCUACCUAUAUACCGUCAACUGAUGCAGAAAUAAUUUGUUGGCAAACCACGAGAAUACCUAUUAACAUUGGAAAAUUGUAUGCAGCUAAAAGAUUACAGAAUAAGUAGUAUUAAGAAAACCAAUUACCUACUCACUUGAA